AGCACUGGUGUGAGCUUCGUUUGAUAUGUGGACAAAGACUUUGAGACAGGUAUAAAACUAAAUACUCUUCUGCAACCCGGAGGUCACUGAUUUAUGAGUUCUGAUACAGAUAAGAAGGAAUACU